UACGUAGGGGGCAAGCGUUUUCCGGAUUUAUUGGGCGUAAAGAGCGUGUAGGCGGCCAGACAGGUCCGUUGUGAAAACUAGAGGCUUAACCUCUAGACGUCGAUGGAAACCGUCUGGCUAGAGUCCGGAAGAGGAGAAUGGAAUUCCUGGUGUAGCGGUGAAAUGCGCAGAUAUCAGGAAGAACACCCGUGGCUAAGGCGGUUCUCUAGUACGGUACUGACGCUGAGACGCGAAAGCGUGGGGAGCAAACAGG
rnacentral:rRNA from 1 species